CAAUAGCGUAUAUUAAAGUUGUUGCAGUUAAAAAGCUCGUAGUUGGAUUUGUGGUACGUCCCGCCGGCUGGAUCAUUGACUUUUGCUGUGCUGGUCGUCCAUCCUUGGGUGGAAUCUGUGUGGCAUUAGGUUGUCGCGCAGGGGAUGCCCAUCGUUUACUGUGAAAAAAUUAGAGUGUUCAAAGCAGGCUUAUGCCGUUGAAUAUAUUAGCAUGGAAUAAUGAUAUAGGACCUUGGUACUAUUUUGUUGGUUUGCGCAUCGAGGUAAUGAUUAAUAGGGACAGUUGGGGGUAUUCGUAUUCCAUUGUAAGAGGUGAAAUUCUUGGAUUUUUGGAAGACGAACUACUGCGAAAGCAUUUACCAAGGAUGUUUUCAUUAA
rnacentral:rRNA from 1 species